rnacentral:rRNA from 1 species
UACGUAGGGCCGAGCGUUGUCCGGAAUUACUGGGCGUAAAGAGCUCGUAGGUGGUUUGUCGCGUUGUUCGUGAAAACUCACAGCUUAACUUGUGGGCGUGCGGGCGAUACGGGCAGACUGGAGUACUGCAGGGGAGACUGGAAUUCCUGGUGUAGCGGUGGAAUGCGCAGAUAUCAGGAGGAACACCGGUGGCGAAGGCGGGUCUCUGGGCAGUAACUGACGCUGGAGGAGCGAAAAGCGUGGGGAGCGAACAGG